UUACGGCCAUAUCGCGUUGAAACCGGUUCUCUUGCGAUCAACGAAGUUAAGCAACGUCGAACAUGAUCAGUAUCUAGAUGGGUGACCGCUUGAGAAUACCAGGUGCUGUAA